CGAACGGUGAAGCAGAGCUUGCUCUGUGGAUCAGUGGCGAACGGGUGAGUAACACGUGAGCAAUCUGCCCCUGACUCUGGGAUAAGCGCUGGAAACGGCGUCUAAUACCGGAUACGAGCUGCGACCGCAUGGUCAGUAGCUGGAAAGAAUUUCGGUCAGGGAUGAGCUCGCGGCCUAUCAGCUUGUUGGUGAGGUAAUGGCUCACCAAGGCGUCGACGGGUAGCCGGCCUGAGAGGGUGACCGGCCACACUGGGACUGAGACACGGCCCAGACUCCUACGGGAGGCAGCAGUGGGGAAUAUUGCACAAUGGGCGAAAGCCUGAUGCAGCAACGCCGCGUGAGGGAUGACGGCCUUCGGGUUGUAAACCUCUUUUAGCAGGGAAGAAGCGAAAGUGACGGUACCUGCAGAAAAAGCGCCGGCUAACUACGUGCCAGCAGCCGCGGUAAUACGUAGGGCGCAAGCGUUAUCCGGAAUUAUUGGGCGUAAAGAGCUCGUAGGCGGUCUGUCGCGUCUGCUGUGAAAACCCGAGGCUCAACCUCGGGCCUGCAGUGGGUACGGGCAGACUAGAGUGCGGUAGGGGAGAUUGGAAUUCCUGGUGUAGCGGUGGAAUGCGCAGAUAUCAGGAGGAACACCGAUGGCGAAGGCAGAUCUCUGGGCCGUAACUGACGCUGAGGAGCGAAAGGGUGGGGAGCAAACAGGCUUAGAUACCCUGGUAGUCCACCCCGUAAACGUUGGGAACUAGUUGUGGGGUCCAUUCCACGGAUUCCGUGACGCAGCUAACGCAUUAAGUUCCCCGCCUGGGGAGUACGGCCGCAAGGCUAAAACUCAAAGGAAUUGACGGGGACCCGCACAAGCGGCGGAGCAUGCGGAUUAAUUCGAUGCAACGCGAAGAACCUUACCAAGGCUUGACAUAUAGAGGAAACGUCUGGAAACAGUCGCCCCGCAAGGUCUCUAUACAGGUGGUGCAUGGUUGUCGUCAGCUCGUGUCGUGAGAUGUUGGGUUAAGUCCCGCAACGAGCGCAACCCUCGUUCUAUGUUGCCAGCACGUAAUGGUGGGAACUCAUGGGAUACUGCCGGGGUCAACUCGGAGGAAGGUGGGGAUGACGUCAAAUCAUCAUGCCCCUUAUGUCUUGGGCUUCACGCAUGCUACAAUGGCCGGUACAAAGGGCUGCAAUACCGUGAGGUGGAGCGAAUCCCAAAAAGCCGGUCCCAGUUCGGAUUGAGGUCUGCAACUCGACCUCAUGAAGUCGGAGUCGCUAGUAAUCGCAGAUCAGCAAAGGGGCGGUGAAUACGUUCCCGGGUCUUGUACACA
rnacentral:rRNA from 1 species